rnacentral:misc_RNA from 1 species
GGCUUAAAUGUUGGGAACUCAUUCCUUUUCCUAGCUGCCUUCAAAUUCUCAGGCAGGCUCUUCACAAUGAUUACAUCCUUUUUAAGUGAUGCAAUAAACUGGUCCUCAUCAUAGAGAUAGGAAAAACUCUUGAAUUUGUUACUAAUGCCUUUUGACCGAAGACUUUCUUGAAUCUCUGGAAUGACAAGAGUCGCAUUUAGAAGCCGAAGAUCUUAUCUUCUCAAAUCCACCAAA